GUAGGAACCAUGCCUUUUCACUGCAACCAUGUGUUUUUCAUCAGAACCUGACCAGGGCCUCCUUGUUCCUAUUAGUGCUGAUUGGACUGGGCUAAUCAGCUGCAAAUUUUGCACAUUGGUUGUUAAGUUUCCGUGCGCAUAUAAUGUUGUAGGAAGCAGCACUCUAGUGCUGUUAGUUCUAAGGCCUAGGGAUGUCUAGAGCACUGGGCUGUGAUAUGAUAUGGAGCUGGAGGGAAGAUGAGCACCUGGAGGAAAACUGACCAGGCUGUAGGCAGCACAUGAUGGAUGGAUGGGCUGAGACAGCGAGAUCGCAUAAGCUGCAUUCCCCUGGGAAACCAGACUGAAAACACAUAAGCAGAGAGGCAGUCUGACAACAAGGCAUCUGACAUGGAAGUGUGGAUGAAGCAAAAGUGUGUCACUGAAUUCCUCCAUGUGGAAAAGAUGGCACCCACUGACAUUCACUGAAGCUUGAUGUAUGUUUAUGGAGACCAAACGGCACAGGACAAAAAUGUUGGGGAAAAAAAAAAAAUCACCUGCCCCUGAGAAGAUUCCUCUGCAAAGUCAGACUGAGACCAAAGGGUGUGAUCUGACGUGCUUCCAGAUCUUCUGAGAAGAAAAAUGAAGAUAAAAGUAUACUGAUAUGGCUGUAGAAGAAUUAGUCCAAACUUAGUGAUUGACUAAUUCCUCUGGGAUCAAAGAGACCUGUAAUGUGUUAACGUUACAUGAACUGGAGCAGCCCCAUCAGGAGCCUAGAACAGCGCGUAAAACCAUUUCCUGUGAGGCAGAGUAGGACCUUGGGUCUGAAUCUUCAAACAUCCCAGGAGCAGCUUUGAAUGAUUGAUAUGCUUUUUCCUGUCAGGCUGUUCAUGAAAAAGCAAGAAGUUGACACCAGACCCACUGAAGUAUUUAAGCUCUUAGCUCUCACUGAGAAGCUAAGUAGGAGUUAUAGGCUUGAUGUCUCGUGAAGCUGCCUCUUAGUUUAGAGGCUGCCAUUUGGAAUGUCCUUAAUGAGCUGGAGAGACAAACUGAGAAGAAUCUCAUUAAACUCAGCAAAGUGAAAUGCAAAGUCACAGCCACUAAUAACCCAGUGUCUCAAUAUAAGCUUUGGCCAACUGACUUGGAAAGGAACUUGACAGGAAAAGUCUUGGGGGUUCUGAUGGACAACUAGUAGACCAUAAGUGAGUAACACACACUUGCAGCAAGAAUGGCUAUCAGCCUCCUGGGUUGCCUUAGGAGCAGAAUUUCCAGUGGGUUAAGGGAGGUGAUUUUUCUUCUUCAUUCAGCACAGUGAGAUCUGGGGUACUGAGUCCAGGUCUGGGUUCCCCAUUACAAGAGAGAUAUGGUCAUACAGGAGAGAGUCCAGUGAAGAUCCAUGAAGAUGAUGAAGGACCUGCAGAAUCUGACACAUAAAGGGUCUGAGAGAGUUGGGACUGUGCAGCCUGGAUAAAAGAGUCCAGCAAUGUGUCGCUCCCUACAAGAUUCCUUACAACAGAUGUUAUGACGCACUUGGAGGAACGUGAACCAAAUUGUAGGUAAUGGUCCGUGCUUAUUUGUUUUGUGUAAGCUGUGGUUUCUAUAGCUACUGUACAUCUGCUUCAUGCCAUUUGCUGAUCAUUUUCUCUAGCUGUCUCAGUCUAGAUAUUUAAAGCAUGUUGUACUGAUAAUGCUCAGCACAGCAAUCUGAUAACAGCUUGACAUGUGAACCAAGUUACAAAUUUGGAAACGUGUUUGAAAACAGCUGUUAAGUCUACACAGUAAUUGUCUAUCUGCUACUGGCAAAAUUACCAUCUCACCCCAAAUCAAAACAUACAGAGGUUUUAUCUCACCAAAG
ensembl:lncRNA